UGGGGAAUUUUGGACAAUGGGCGAAAGCCUGAUCCAGCAAUGCCGCGUGUGUGAAGAAGGCCUUCGGGUUGUAAAGCACUUUUGUCCGGAAAGAAAUCCUUGGCUCUAAUACAGUCGGGGGAUGACGGUACCGGAAGAAUAAGCACCGGCUAACUACGUGCCAGCAGCCGCGGUAAUACGUAGGGUGCAAGCGUUAAUCGGAAUUACUGGGCGUAAAGCGUGCGCAGGCGGUUUGCUAAGACCGAUGUGAAAUCCCCGGGCUCAACCUGGGAACUGCAUUGGUGACUGGCAGGCUAGAGUAUGGCAGAGGGGGGUAGAAUUCCACGUGUAGCAGUGAAAUGCGUAGAGAUGUGGAGGAAUACCGAUGGCGAAGGCAGCCCCCUGGGCCAAUACUGACGCUCAUGCACGAAAGCGUGGGGAGCAAAACAGGAUUAGAUACCCUGGUAGUCCACGCCCUAAAACGAUGUCAACUAGUUGUGGGGAUUCAUUCCUUAGUAACGUAGCUAACGCGUGAAGUUGACCGCCUGGGGAGUACGGUCGCAAGAUUAAAACUUAAAUGAAUUGACGGGGUCAUAGCUG
rnacentral:rRNA from 1 species